UAUUUUCAGCCAUUGGAUUUGACUGAAUUAAUCGAAUAUUUUCCACUUCUUAUUACAUUUACACCCAAAUUCCCUCUCCAGCCUCUUCUCUGGUUCGCCAGCAGAGGGAUUGAAUUGAAGAGGGGGGUUCUUGAAGAUCUCAGGAGCUCUCAUUGAAGAGCCACUCGUAGGUUAGGGAGAAUUUAUGAAGAAGUUUCAGCAGCUAUGGCGCAGGACACAACUACUCUGGAUGAAGUGAUUAGGAUAAUGUCAGAAUGCAAAGAGCUACGGCAAUCAUUGGCACCACCUGCUCUUGAGGACAUUUGUGGAAGGGAAAAAUGGUGGGAAUCUCUAGAAUUAGGCAAACUGUAUUCAAGUAAAAAUGUUGACAAAAUUUUCAAUUAGCCCUAGAUGUAGUAGACGCCACGACACAUCUGCUUCAAUUAUUUGUGCUUUGUGACCCCGAAACGUGUGUGGCCACCACUGUUGAUUGAGAUUACAAAAUUAAGCUUGAUGUUUUAAUUUUUUUCAUUAUCUCUUUUAGAAAUCA